rnacentral:snRNA from 1 species
AUACUUACCUGGCAGGGGAGAUACCAUGAUCACGAAGGUGGUUUUCCCAGGGCGAGGCUUAUCCAUUGCACUCCGGAUGUGCUGACCCCUGCGAUUUCCCCAAAUGUGGGAAACUCGACUGCAUAAUUUGUGGUAUUGGUGGACUGCGUUCGCGCUAAAAAUAU